rnacentral:rRNA from 1 species
GACGUAGGAUCCAAGCGUUAUCCGGAAUUACUGGGCGUAAAGGGCGUGUAGGAGGUUGGGCAAGUCGGCCAUGAAAGCUCCCGGCUCAACUGGGAGAGGCUGGUCGAUACUGCCUGGCUAGAGGGCAAGAGAGGGAGGUGGAAUUCCCGGUGUAGUGGUGAAAUGCGUAGAUAUCGGGAGGAACACCAGUGGCGAAGGCGGCCUCCUGGCUUGUACCUGACUCUGAAACGCGAAAGCAUGGGUAGCAAACAGGAUUAGAAACCCUGGUAGUCCAUGCCAUAAACGAUGUCAACUGGGUGUCGGCGAAGUAAAAUUUGUCGGUGCCGAAGCUAACGCGUUAAGUUGACCGCCUGAGGACUACGAUCGCAAGAUUA